CAAAAACAUCGCUAGCCGUAUUUUACAGUUGGUUGUUUCUGCUCACUGGGAAACUAAAUAGCCGCAGUACCCUGACUGUGCAAAGGUAGCAUAAUCAUUUGGCUUAUAAUUGAAGUCUGGAAUGAAAGAAAGGAUGGGUAAUUGCUGUCUCUAAAAGGUUACUAGAAGUUAUUAAGUAAGUGCAAAUACUUAUAUAUAAAUAAUAGACGAGAAGACCCUAGAAAUUUUUUAGACAAUUAGUUAGGCUAGUUAUUAUUUUGCUGGGGCGGCAGAAUAACAGUAAACUUAUUUUUGCGACUGGAACUAUGUAAAGAGAUAGAUUAAAUUACUCUAGGGAUAACAGCAUAAUUUAUAAAAGUUUGUGACCUCGAUGUUGGACUAGGGACCUUAAUAUUUAGAAGACGUUAAGGAAGGCUCUGUUCGAGCAUCAUAUCCCUACAUGAUCU
rnacentral:rRNA from 1 species